rnacentral:lncRNA from 1 species
UUUUGACCCUCCCUCAACUUUUUUUUUAAAACCAUAAUUUGGGUAUAAAGCCCAUUUAUAACUAAAAAAUAUUCUUUCAUAAGGAAAGGGCCAGGUCCAAAAAUGACCCGGCCCAAAGAAAAUUAAACAAAUUACAUUCAGACAAAAUUAAAAAUGGAAAGCCAAUUUAGGAAACUAUAAAAGCCGAUAAGCUUCUUGACCAACAAUUCCUUAGCUUCCAACUUUGUUAAUCUUCAAGUUCUUGACUAAGCUGAACUUUAGGCCAUAAAAUUAUGUGAAAUCAGCUAUCCGCUACUGAAAUCAACGUCAUUUGAUGAAGAUUUUUGUUCAUCCAUCCUCUACAUAAAUCAGAUAAGUGUCUCUCCUUUCAAUCUCAUAUAAACACUUUCAUUUCCCUCUUUCUCCUUCUGGGUGGAUUGAACCUAUAACCCUCCCUCAACUUUAAUCUAUUUUUAACAUUAAAUAUUUAUCUUAGCUUUAUUUUAUUUUUAAUAGAUUUUAUUUGAUAAAACUAAAAAUAACAAAAAUAGUUAUGUUUUUAGAUACACCACUUUUAAAAAAAUUAAGGAAAAGAGAAAAUUUUACAAAAAAAGGGUCAAACCCAAUAGGAUAUUGCCACACAUUAUGUUCUAUUCCAAUCUGUAUUCGUGGCAUAUUCCAUUGAAGAGGAGAAUAUUUCAUGCUUCCUACCUAAAUGUUAUUUAUCCUUAUCUAAAAUUAAAGGGCAUUUUAGAAAAAGACUAGCUAAAAAUAAACACCAAAGACUAUACCUAGUAGGCUCUAUAAAUAGAAACCGAUAAGAAACCAAUAGAAGGGAGGAUCCAAUAAUUAAGAAAUCAGCCACAAAAAGCGUGAAGAAGCAGCCGUGAGACCCCUUUUACUUCUUCCAAAAGCCUUAGAGCUAAGAAAGAAAGAAUAAUAGGAAAAAGCUCCAAAAAAACAACUCACACAAAGACACCACGAACCACCUGAAAAAAAUCAUAAAACUCAUCAUUUAAACUCUCUGAAUAUUAUAUGAUGAGUUUCAUGGUGUUUUUUAGGUGGUUUGUGACAUUUUUUGUAUGAGUUGAUUUUUGGAGUUUUUUCCUAUUAUUCUUCCUUUCUUAGCUCCAAGGCUUUUGAAAGAAGAAAAAGGGGUCUCACGGUUGCUUCUUUAUAAUUAUUGUGAUUGAUUCUUAAUGAUUAGAUCCCUCCCUUUCCUUGAUUUCUUAUAGGUUUCUAUUUAUAAACUCUACUAGGUCUAGAGUUUGGUAUUUAUUUUUAGCUAGUCCUUUCCUAAAUGCCUUGAAUUUUAGGACAAAAUUAAAAAAAUUUAGGGAGGAAGAAUGGAAUAUUCUCCCCUCCAAUGGAAUAUGCUAUGAACAGAGAUUGAGAGAGAAUGUAAUGUGUGGCAACAUCCUAUUGGGUUUAACCAUUUUUUGUAAAAUUUCUUUCUUCCUAGAAAAUAAAAAAACCAAAGUAAUGUAUUUAAAAACAUGACUAUUUUUGUGGUUUUAAAUUUUAUCAAAUAAAAUCUACUAAAAAUAAAAUAAAAACUAAAACAAGUAUUUAAUGUUAAAAAUAGGUUAAAACUUGGAGAGAAUUAAAAAUCAUAUAUGUACACAUAUUUGACACCGGAUACAUCUAUCUUUGAUACCAGAUAUAUGCACCUGACUGCAUUGUAUAAAAUUGAUAUUAGAUACAUCAAACUAAUGUUGGAUGCACUAGAAGAAAUUGAUAUUAGAUACUCUAGACGGAGUUGGUACUGGAUACACUAGAUGAAAUCAAUAAUAGAAACAAACACACCAGAUACAUUAAGAAAACACACUAACAAAAAACAUCAUGAAUCACAUAUACAGUAAAUGGAUUUUUGAUGAAUUGAAUAAUAAAGUGACUCUGAAAUUGAUAGAAUAGAAUUUAUUUUGUCUUGGUCUUUUUUUAGCUCAAAGACAUGUUAUUUCCUCAGAGUUAUUACACCCUUCAUUUUUGUCUAAUUUAAAGAGAUUUAAAUACAAAAAAUAUUUUAUUUUUACAAGAAAAUAAAAUCGGACGCACGUGUACCUCAAAUACAUGUAUCCAACGUGUGUGUCUUGAAUGAAUCUCAGACAAGUUUUGUAACUUUUAAAACUCCUAUUUCAACUAGCACUUAUGUAGUAUAAUAUUGUGUUUUAUGUAGUUUUCUCCCUUUUUACCAGAAUUCAAUGAGGAAAUUACACCUAAUGUAUCCUAAAUGUCUGUCUUUAAACUUUUGUCCUCACUUAAUAAAUAAUUUUAAAAUGACUUUUACUUUAAAAAAAUAGCUGGAAAGAAGUUGUGCUAUCCAUCACACACAAGUUCUAACUUUUGCCUAUAAGAUAGAAUUUGUGGUCAAUAGAACAUGUUCACUAUCUUGAAUAUUCUGAACUUUUGCUUUAUGGGCACUCGUUAGAACUUAUGCCUAAUAUGGACGACAUACCUAAGUUUUAAGUUUUGCCUAAAAGAGAAUACUUCUGGUCAAUUAAGCAGGUGUACAAUUUUAAAAUGUCAUGAACGUCUGUCAUAGAGGCUAAAGUUAGAAUUUAUGUCUGAUGGACAACAUAUCUAAGUUCUAACUUCUGUCUAUAAGGUAAAACUUCUGAUCAAUUAAGAAAGAAGAAACUUACAGAUAUUCAAAGAGAAUAAUCGUGGAGCAUUUUGAAGAAGGACGUCAAAAGCUUCAACGGUGAAGAGUAACUUUUGGGUUUUUUAUUUAGGAUAAAGAGACUGACCAACCAAAGACUGAAAACAUCUAAAUCUACAAAAAAUAUAGAAGCUAAGGAAAAUUCUCGACCAUAAAGGUCGAAGUUGAACCACAACUUUGUAUAUCUAUGGAAACCAUAUCAAGAUAAAAAUAGAAAAAAUAAUCUUAAAAGAGGAAGAAGACACUUACAAAGUAUUCAAAGAGAAUAAUUGUGCUUAGAGACACUGGAGCAUUCUACAGUAGGACAUCAAAAGCUUCAAUGAGGAACAGAACCCUUUGGGUUUCCUAUUUCAAACAAAGAGACCAAUUAAUAAAAGAGUGAACAAUUAGAUCUUGAAAAAGAAUAGAAGCUAAAAAUGAUUCUUGACCACAAAGGUCGAAAUUGAACUGCAACUUUGUACAUCUAUCGAAGCCAGAUCUAUAUCAAAAAGGUAAAGUAAUCUCAAGAGAGGAAGAAGACACUUAAAGAGAUUUAAAGAGAACAAUCGCCGCUUGGAGAUACCGAAGCAUUCUGCAGCAGGACGUCAAAAUCUUCAAUAAUGAAGAGAACCCUUUGGGUUUCCCAUUUAGGACAAAUAGACAAACCAACCAAAUUGUGACGACAACUAGAUAUGCAAGAAAGAUAGAAGUGAAGAAAGAUUC